rnacentral:rRNA from 1 species
GAUGAACGCUAGCGGGAGGCCUAACACAUGCAAGCCGAGCGGUAUUGUUUCUUCGGACAUGAGAGAGCGGCGUACGGGUGCGUAACACGUGUGCAACCUGCCUUUAUCUGGGGGAUAGCCUUUCGAAAGGAAGAUUAAUACUCCAUAAUAUAUUGAACGGCAUCGUUUAAUAUUGAAAGCUCCGGCGGAUAGAGAUGGGCGCGCGCAAGAUUAGCUAGUUGGUGAGGUAACGGCUCACCAAGGCGAUGAUCUUUAGGGGGCCUGAGAGGGUGAUCCCCCACACUGGUACUGAGACACGGACCAGACUCCUACGGGAGGCAGCAGUGAGGAAUAUUGGUCAAUGGGUGCAAGCCUGAACCAGCCAUCCCGCGUGAAGGACGACUGCCCUAUGGGUUGUAAACUUCUUUUGUAUAGGGAUAAACCUACCCUCGAGAGGGUAGCUGAAGGUACUAUACGAAUAAGCACCGGCUAACUCCGUG